GAACGGGUCGCUCAGCCCGGCAGAGCACCCACCCUCGCGGUGGGCGGCCUGAGAUGACGGCCUCGGCGGUUCGAAUCCGCCCCCGUUCG
rnacentral:tRNA from 1 species